UGCAAAACAACCACACACUAUGCAUUAAUCAUUGCUUCUUCUGACGCAGUAAGAGCCAAAAUAAUUCGUUCCAACAUUUUAUCAAGCAGUUGGGAUGCAACUCCAAACAAUCUAAUCAAAAUAGUUAAAAUAAUAAAAUGAUCUCUUGCUCUAUAAAUGAUAGUGGGUGCGAACUAUGGUCAACGAAUAUGCAGAAACUGGUGUAGCAUGGAACCUCACGGUUUUGUCUGGCCUCACCAUCUCUUGCUCUGUCUUUCUGGUCCUUCUAGACUGAAGGAAUGUGAAUGUAAAAAUGAUAUGGAACUCAGUUAGGCGACGUGAAGUGGCAGGAUGUACGAUUGGAUCAAAUUACUAUGAAAAACUCUAUGCGGACGAGUCAAAAUACG
rnacentral:lncRNA from 1 species